UGCAAGUUCGAACGGUGAAGCAGGAGCUUGCUCUUGUGGAUCAGUGGCGAACGGGUGAGUAACACGUGAGCAACCUGCCCCGAACUCUGGGAUAAGCGCUGGAAACGGCGUCUAAUACCGGAUACGCACCAGGAAGGCAUCUUCUCUGGUGGGAAAGAUUUAUUGGUUCGGGAUGGGCUCGCGGCCUAUCAGCUUGUUGGUGAGGUAAUGGCUCACCAAGGCGUCGACGGGUAGCCGGCCUGAGAGGGUGACCGGCCACACUGGGACUGAGACACGGCCCAGACUCCUACGGGAGGCAGCAGUGGGGAAUAUUGCACAAUGGGCGCAAGCCUGAUGCAGCAACGCCGCGUGAGGGAUGACGGCCUUCGGGUUGUAAACCUCUUUUAGCAGGGAAGAAGCGAAAGUGACGGUACCUGCAGAAAAAGCGCCGGCUAACUACGUGCCAGCAGCCGCGGUAAUACGUAGGGCGCAAGCGUUAUCCGGAAUUAUUGGGCGUAAAGAGCUCGUAGGCGGUCUGUCGCGUCUGCUGUGAAAACCCGAGGCUCAACCUCGGGCCUGCAGUGGGUACGGGCAGACUAGAGUGCGGUAGGGGAGAUUGGAAUUCCUGGUGUAGCGGUGGAAUGCGCAGAUAUCAGGAGGAACACCGAUGGCGAAGGCAGAUCUCUGGGCCGUAACUGACGCUGAGGAGCGAAAGGGUGGGGAGCAAACAGGCUUAGAUACCCUGGUAGUCCACCCCGUAAACGUUGGGAACUAGUUGUGGGGGCCUUUCCACGGUCUCCGUGACGCAGCUAACGCAUUAAGUUCCCCGCCUGGGGAGUACGGCCGCAAGGCUAAAACUCAAAGGAAUUGACGGGGACCCGCACAAGCGGCGGAGCAUGCGGAUUAAUUCGAUGCAACGCGAAGAACCUUACCAAGGCUUGACAUAU
rnacentral:rRNA from 1 species